GAUGAACGCUGGCGGCGUGCUUAACACAUGCAAGUCGAACGGUGAACACGGAGCUUGCUCUGUGGGAUCAGUGGCGAACGGGUGAGUAACACGUGAGCAACCUGCCCCUGACUCUGGGAUAAGCGCUGGAAACGGCGUCUAAUACUGGAUAUGUGACGUGACCGCAUGGUCUGCGUUUGGAAAGAUUUUUCGGUUGGGGAUGGGCUCGCGGCCUAUCAGCUUGUUGGUGAGGUAAUGGCUCACCAAGGCGUCGACGGGUAGCCGGCCUGAGAGGGUGACCGGACACACUGGGACUGAGACACGGCACAGACUCCUACGGGAGGCAGCAGUGGAGAAUAGUGCACUAUGGGCGCAAGCCUAAUGCAGCAACGCCGCGUGAGGGAUGACGGCAAUCGGGUUGUAAACCUCUUUUAGCAGGGAAGAAGCGAAAGUGACGGUACCUGCAGAAAAAGCGCCGGCUAACUACGUG
rnacentral:rRNA from 1 species